GAUGAACGCUAGCUACAGGCUUAACACAUGCAAGUCGAGGGGAAACGGCAUCGAAAGCUUGCUUUUGAUGGGCGUCGACCGGCGCACGGGUGAGUAACGCGUAUCCAACCUGCCCAUCACUUGGGAAUAACCUUGCGAAAGUAAGACUAAUGCCCAAUGACAUCCCACGAAGGCAUCCGAAUGGGAUUAAAGAUUUAUCGGUGAUGGAUGGGGAUGCGUCUGAUUAGCUUGUUGGCGGGGUGACGGCCCACCAAGGCAACGAUCAGUAGGGGUUCUGAGAGGAAGGUCCCCCACAUUGGAACUGAGACACGGUCCAAACUCCUACGGGAGGCAGCAAUGAGGAAUAUUGGUCAAUGGGCGAGAGCCUGAACCAGCCAAGUAGCGUGCAGGAUGACGGCCCUAUGGGUUGUAAACUGCUUUUAUAAGGGAAUAAAGUGGGUCACGUGUGACUUUUUGCAUGUACCUUAUGAAUAAGGACCGGCUAAUUCCGUG
rnacentral:rRNA from 1 species